CAGUCGCCGCGGGAAUACGUAGGUGGCAAGCGUUGUCCGGAAUUAUUGGGCGUAGAGGGCUCGCAGGCGGUUUCUUAAGUCUGAUGUGAAAGCCCCCGGCUCAACCGGGGAGGGUCAUUGGAAACUGGGAAACUUGAGUGCAGAAGAGGAGAGUGGAAUUCCACGUGUAGCGGUGAAAUGCGUAGAGAUGUGGAGGAACACCAGUGGCGAAGGCGACUCUCUGGUCUGUAACUGACGCUGAGGAGCGAAAGCGUGGGGAGCGAACAGGAUUAGAUACCCCAGUAGUCCCUGUCUCUUAUAC
rnacentral:rRNA from 1 species